rnacentral:rRNA from 1 species
GGGGCUUCGGCUCUCGCCUUUAGAUUGGCCCAAGUGGGAUUAGCUAGUUGGUGAGGUAAUGGCUCACCAAGGCAACGAUCCCUAGCUGGUUUGAGAGGAUGAUCAGCCACACUGGGACUGAGACACGGCCCAGACUCCUACGGGAGGCAGCAGUGGGGAAUAUUGCACAAUGGGCGCAAGCCUGAUGCAGCCAUGCCGCGUGUGUGAAGAAGGCCUUCGGGUUGUAAAGCACUUUCAGUCAGGAGGAAAGGUUAGUAGUUAAUACCUGCUAGCUGUGACGUUACUGACAGAAGA